AUUUCAAACAGCUGGCUGCAAUCAGCUGGGUCUCGGCUAAAUUACGCGCACAAUCAUAUGUAUGAGCUUAUCAGUUUUGUCUACUAUUUCCUCUAUGAACGUAAUUCUGCUAAGUUUUCAAUCUUGAAUCAAUUACUUUUUUGUUUUUAUUGAAUUUUUCUACUUUUUUGGCAGUUCGGCAACAUGGCUAACCAGUAUGCAACUUUUGGCUGCGCGUACCUUGCGUACAGGCAUGUGCGUGUGACAGCAGAUCGUACCGUAAACCAUUAUCAAUUUUUAUUAUUUGUAUAUAUUUUAGACAUCAGAUGAAAUGAAGAAUGAAAAUAGACAUUUUCAUGAUGUGUGUAUCAAGGCGUACGGUGGACUCCAAAUUCUCUAUCAACAAAAGACCUUCCAGGUUUCCAAGGUGCAGCUUCCAUAGAGAAUAGCUUCUAUCGAGAGAGUCUAGUAUCUGCUAAGGGAUGUGUAACUCCCGAGAAACAUCAAGAUGGUAGUCGUAUGGCACAGUCAAACACGUUUUUUACACGUCCGAGUCCGUUGGAGACCGUACUUAGGCCAGCAAACGUAUAUCCUGGCAAAAGACGCUUGAUGCCGAAGUGUACGAUAUCUCUGGACCAUCGCAUGAAUAUGUUCAUGUCACAUCAAAAACGCCAGUUCCGGGCUCCAAAGACAUUCUUUCCAGGGAGAGCAGCUUAAAUCAUACAGCAGCAGCACUCAUCAAAUGUGUGCGCCGAAAAAAUUUAAAGGUACGUUUGUAUUUGAUAUCUUUUAUUGCCGUAGCUUUUCCAUUUAUGGAAGUUUUCUCUUCCAUCUCUGGAAGUACAUAUAAUAUCUAAUUAUAUGUACAGGGUGAUUUAAAAUUGGCGUCAUUC
rnacentral:lncRNA from 1 species